rnacentral:rRNA from 1 species
CACGAAGGGUGCUAGCGUUGUUCGGAAUUACUGGGCGUAAAGCGCGCGUAGGCGGUCAUUCAAGUCAGAGGUGAAAUCCUUGAGCUCAACUCAAGAAUUGCCUUUGAAACUGUAUGACUGGAGUGUCGGAGGGGAUAGCGGAAUUCCUAAUGUAGAGGUGAAAUUCGUAGAUAUUAGGAGGAACACCGGUGGCGAAGGCGGCUAUCUGGACGACAACUGACGCUGAGGCGCGAAAGCACGGGGAUCAAACAGG